CCAAAGGUUCCCUCAGAAUGGUUGGAAAUCAUUCGCAGAGUGUAAAGGCACAAGGGAGCUUGACUGCGAGACCUACAAGUCGAGCAGGGACGAAAGUCGGGCUUAGUGAUCCGGUGGUUCCGCAUGGAAGGGCCAUCGCUCAACGGAUAAAAGCUACCCCGGGGAUAACAGGCUUAUCUCCCCCAAGAGUCCACAUCGACGGGGCGGUUUGGCACCUCGAUGUCGGCUCAUCGCAUCCUGGGGCUGUAGUCGGUCCCAAGGGUUGGGCUGUUCGCCCAUUAAAGCGGUACGCGAGCUGGGUUCAGAACGUCGUGAGACAGUUCGGUCCCUAGCCGUCGCGGGCGCAGGAAAUUUGAGAGGAGCUGUCCUUAGUACGAGAGGACCGGGAUGGACGCACCGCUGGUGUACCAGUUGUUCUGCCAAGGGCAUCGCUGGGUAGCUAUGUGCGGACGGGAUAAGUGCUGAAAGCAUCUAAGCAUGAAGCCCCCCUCAAGAUGAGAUUUCCCAUUCCGCAAGGAAGUAAGAUCCCUGAAAGAUGAUCAGGUUGAUAGGUCUGAGGUGGAAGUGUGGCGACACAUGGAGCUGACAGAUACUAAUCGAUCGAGGACUUAACCAUUUU
rnacentral:rRNA from 1 species